rnacentral:rRNA from 1 species
CCUACGGGCGGCAGCAGUGGGGAAUAUUGGACAAUGGGCGAAAGCCUGAUCCAGCCAUGCCGCGUGUGUGAAGAAGGCCUUCGGGUUGUAAAGCACUUUCAGUGGGGAAGAAAGCCUUGGGGCUAAUACCCUCGAGGAAGGACAUCACCCACAGAAGAAGCACCGGCUAACUCCGUGCCAGCAGCCGCGGUAAUACGGAGGGUGCGAGCGUUAAUCGGAAUUACUGGGCGUAAAGCGCGCGUAGGCGGUCUGAUAAGCCGGUUGUGAAAGCCCCGGGCUCAACCUGGGAAUGGCAUCCGGAACUGUCAGGCUAGAGUGCAGGAGAGGAAGGUAGAAUUCCCGGUGUAGCGGUGAAAUGCGUAGAGAUCGGGAGGAAUACCAGUGGCGAAGGCGGCCUUCUGGACUGACACUGACGCUGAGGUGCGAAAGCGUGGGUAGCAAACAGGAUUAGAUACCCGAGUGUC